rfam:Sorghum bicolor cultivar BTx623 chromosome 2, whole genome shotgun sequence.
AUUCCAUGAUGGGGACAUUCUAGGAUGUAGUCUUGGAAGUGCGCCCAUGCUUCUGGAACAGAUUCAUCAUUUUGUUGCUGAAAACUUAUAAUCUUCACACGGAGAGC